rnacentral:rRNA from 1 species
UCAUUAUAAAUUGAUAUAAUUAAUUUAUUAAUAUUUAGUUUAUUUUAGUUUAAUUGUAUUAAAAAUAUUUAUUUGAUUAAUUGUUUUAGUAUUUUUAAAGAAUGAAUUUGUUUUAUAAUAGUUUAAUAGUACUGUGAAGGAAAAUUGAAAUAAUUUGAAAAAUUUAUAAUAUAUAAGAAAAUUUAAUUUAUUGUACCUUGUGUAUCAGGGUUUAUUAAAUAAAAUAUAAUUAUUUAUAAUUCUCGGUUUCAUAAGAGUUAAUAAUUUAUUGAGUUUAAUGUAGCAGAAUUAUCUUAAAUAAUUUAUUGGAAAUGAAAUGUUAUUCGUUUUUGAAGGUAUCUAGUUUUUCUAGAAAUAAAUUUAAUUUAGGUUAAUUAAAUUAUUAAUUUAAUUGUGUUAAUUUAAUAAUUUUUUCUAACUACUAAUUUAUGGGAUAAGCCGUAAAUUAAAUUUAUUAAAAUUGUUGAAUAAAUUAAUUUUAAAUAUAUGCUUAGAAUUAGCAAUUAUUUUUGAUAUUGUUUUAAAUUAUUAUUUAAAUGAAUUAUUUAUUUAAAUUUAAUUAUUUAUAGGAAUUUUUAUUUUAAUUUUUUAGUUAAGUAAUAAUGAUUGAAUUAGUAUAGGUUUUUGUAAUAAUAAUUUAUUUGACAGGUUUAUAUAAUAAAUUCGGCAAAAUUGUAUAUCCGCCUGUUUAACAAAAACAUGUCCUUUUGAUUUUAUUUAAGGUCUGACCUGCCCACUGAUUUUUUGAAUGGCCGCAGUAUUUUAACUGUGCAAAGGUAGCAUAAUCAUUAGUCUUUUAAUUGUAGGCUUGUAUGAAUGGUUGGACGAGAUAUAAACUGUUUCAUUUAAAUUUAUUUUAGAAUUUUAUUUUUUAGUUAAAAAGCUAAAAUUAAAUUUAAAGACGAGAAGACCCUAUAAAUCUUUAUAAUUUUUAAUAUUUUUAUUUUUUGGGUUAUUUUUGUUUUAAUAUAUAAAAUUAUUUUGUUGGGGUGAUGUUGAAAUUUAUUUAACUUUUAAUAUUUAAUUUUCAUUUAUUUAUGAUUUUAUGAUCCUUCGUUGUUGAUUAUAAGUUUAAGUUACUUUAGGGAUAACAGCGUAAUUUUUUCGGAGAGUUCUUAUCGAUGAGAAAGAUUGCGACCUCGAUGUUGGAUUAAGAUAUAAUUUUAGGUGUAGCCGCUUAAGUUUUAAGUCUGUUCGACUUU